CCUACGUGUGGCUGCAGUGGGGAAUAUUGGACAAUGGGGGGAACCCUGAUCCAGCCAUGCCGCGUGUGUGAAGAAGGCCCUCGGGUUGUAAAGCACUUUCAGUGAGGAAGAACGCCUGGUGGUUAAUACCCAUCAGGAAAGACAUCACUCACAGAAGAAGCACCGGCUAACUCCGUGCCAGCAGCCGCGGUAAUACGGAGGGUGCGAGCGUUAAUCGGAAUUACUGGGCGUAAAGCGCGCGUAGGUGGCUUGAUAAGCCGGUUGUGAAAGCCCCGGGCUCAACCUGGGAACGGCAUCCGGAACUGUCAAGCUAGAGUGCAGGAGAGGAAGGUAGAAUUCCCGGUGUAGCGGUGAAAUGCGUAGAGAUCGGGAGGAAUACCAGUGGCGAAGGCGGCCUUCUGGACUGACACUGACACUGAGGUGCGAAAGCGUGGGUAGCAAACAGGAUUAGAUACCCGAGUAGUC
rnacentral:rRNA from 1 species